AAAAGAAACUCAGUUGGCGAAGGAGACUGAAAAUGCUAUGUGAUAUAUGCAGUUGAAUCUUUUUGGAGUGAAUUCCAAAUUCCAAAGCUAUAUGCUGCAUCUCUGCAGUUGGCCUUUGUGACAUGUUAUAUGUGAAGACCAAUUGGUGCAAGGUGACCAACUUGGAGGAAGAGGAAUAUAGCAAAUUGGAAUGAAGUGUCGUGUUUAUAGUGGAUUUUAUUUCAUUGCAGUUAUAAUACUUUUUCAACCUAAACCCUAAUGUAACAGAAUUUGUCCAUGCAAAGUACAUUGCAUUUCCAGUUAAGUGAACCCUGAAGAUUGUUUAA